rnacentral:rRNA from 1 species
CCCAGUUCGGAUUGUAGUCUGCAACCCGACUACAUGAAGCUGGAAUCGCUAGUAAUCGCGGAUCAGAAUGCCGCGGUGAAUACGUUCCCGGGUCUUGUACACACCGCCCGUCACACCAUGGGAGUCGGAAAUGCCCGAAGCCGGUGACCCAACCAAAAGGAGGGAGCCGUCGAAGGCAGGUCUGAUAACUGGGGUGAAGUCGUAACAAGGUAAC